UUAUUUUUUGUUGUUGUUUUGGAGCACCAUACGAAACACAAAUGAGUGUCAGAGAUAAUGCGCGCUGAAGAGAAGAUUAAAGGAUAGCGAGAGUAUAUAAUUGAGAGUGAAAUACAUAUAUGAAUAAACUUGGAUAUGUGGCAACCUUCUGCAUAUAAGUA